GACGAACCGAGCGAACGUUGUUCGGAAUCACUGGGCUUAAAGGGCGCGUAGGCGGCUUACCAAGUCAGGGGUGAAAUUUUGCGGCUUAACCGUAACAGUGCCUUUGAUACUGGUAGGCUCGAGGGAGGUAGGGGUUCGCGGAACUUCUGGUGGAGCGGUGAAAUGCGUUGAUAUCAGAAGGAACGCCGGUGGCGAAAGCGGCGAACUGGAUCUCUUCUGACGCUGAGGCGCGAAAGCUAGGGGAGCAAACGGGAUUAGAUACCCCGGUAGUCCUAGCCCUAAACGAUGGGUACUAGAUUGUAAGCGUGACAUGCGCCUACAGUCGAAGCAAAAGUGUUAAGUACCCCGCCUGGGGAGUAUGGUCGCAAGGCUGAA
rnacentral:rRNA from 1 species